rnacentral:tRNA from 1 species
AAGUAGUUAGUUUAAUUGGUAGAACAUUAAGCUCAUAACUUAAAGAAUGUAGGUUCAACUCCUACACUGCUUA